rnacentral:rRNA from 1 species
UACGUAGGGAGCAAGCGUUGUCCGGAAUCAUUGGGCGUAAAGCGCGCAUAGGCGGCCCUGUAAGUCCGUUGUGAAAGUCAAAGGCUCAACCUUUGAAAGCCGAUGGAUACUGCAGGGCUAGAGUCCGGAAGAGGCGAGUGGAAUUCCUGGUGUAGCGGUGGAAUGCGCAGAUAUCAGGAGGAACACCAAUAGCGAAGGCAGCUCGCUGGGACGGUACUGACGCUAAGGCGCGAAAGCGUGGGGAGCGAACAGG